UACGAGGGGUGCAAACGUUAUUCGGAAUCACUGGGCGUAAAGGGUGCGUAGACGGUAAUAUAAGUCAAUUAUUAAAUCUCCUGGCUUAACUAGGAAUCUGUGAUUGAAACUAUGUUACUUGAGGAAGGAAGAGAGAAGUGGAAUUCUCGGAGUAGCGGUAAAAUGCUUAGAUCUCGAGAGGAACACCGAUGGCGAAGGCAGCUUCGUGGUCCAUUUCUGACGUUGAAGCACGAAAGCGUGGGGAGCAAACAGG
rnacentral:rRNA from 1 species